AUGGUUUUAGGAUUGGUUUUAGAUGAUGGAUAUCCGCAAUUUUAACCGCUAUCGUUCGGUGUUCAGGGCGCGGCCGGCCGUAGCAUUGAAAGUUUAUUGAGCAAGCUUUGUAAGAACCUAAGCGUAUGUUUUGAAGAUCACAGGGCAGGCAUCUUUUAAAGCAGAGAAUUUCAAGGAUUUUGCCUUGAAUAUGCGAUGAAGGGACUCCUGACUGUCACCUCGGUUACUAUGACCUUCUGAUUAUAUUAAAUGUUAACGCGGUUGAGAAGUAAAACCAUGGCGCAUUAUUGAGGAAUGGCAUUUUGUUUUUUAAUCAACCGUGAGCGUUUUCAGGCUCUGGAAUAUGGAUGGGACGUUAUGCUACUAGUUCUUGGUUUCACACAGCUCGAGGUUCUAGCCACGUUGCCAAAUAGAAAUAAAUAUUGCUGUUAGUGGAAGUACUCAAGGGAUUUGAUUCGAUCUGUGCGGGAGCAAAACAGAGACAGAGUAUGGAGCAGAUGAGAGAAUUCGGAUACCAUAACUCCUGUUUCAGUCACCCAAAGUUUCAACUAGAUACUUUUCUGGCUUGGGCUGGUAUAUGAAGUGACAUCAGCCACUACCUCAACUCUUACCACGUCAACUGGUUUAACUGGGCUAUGCAGGACAAAGGAAGGCCUCUGAAGGUUACAUCCCCACUAGCUCAUCGGGCCAAGUCGAGAAAAUGAUUAUAGAGGCUAAUAUGUGAUCGGGUGAGGAUUCUAGUAUGUCAAUCCCCUCUACAUGAUGACUCGGAGGGAUCUUAUACUGGCCAGUCUGGCUAUGGCUAUCAGAUGUUUGAGAGAUUCCUCCUACCCGCAUAAGAGAUAGGUGAACGACGGUUCCAAAGUGUGUCGCCUGCCAUUUCGAGCACCUGCUACCUACUGCGUCUACAAUUUUGCAAGUGAGUGCAAUCCUGAACGCAGGAAGAUUGAGUCUGGAUCAGAGGAAAACUGGUUAUAAAUAACUCUCGCUAUGAAACUCUUUAUUUGACUCUUUGUCUAUCUCAACAUAGUUGUUUCAUUACAGAAGAACUUUUAUUCUAGAUAUAUGCAGUAAAAUUGAACUUUUCGCAGUUUUAACUUGGUUUUAGAAGUUGCUUCUC